rnacentral:tRNA from 1 species
GUGGUUCUGCUCAAUCGGCAGAGCAGACGCUUCGUAAGCGUCCGGUUUCCAGUUCAAUUCUGGAGGGUGGCU